rnacentral:rRNA from 1 species
UACGUAGGAUGCAAGCGUUGUCCGGAUUUACUGGGCGUAAAGCGCGCGCAGGCGGCACUCUAAGUACGCUGUGAAAUAUCCCGGCUCAACCGGGAGGGUGCAGUGUAGACUAGGGAGCUAGAGGUCGGUAGAGGGGGGUGGAAUUGCUGGUGUAGCGGUGAAAUGCGUAGAGAUCAGCAGGAACACCCGUGGCGAAGGCGGCCCCCUGGGCCCGUACCUGACGCUGAGGCGCGGACAGCGUGGGGAGCAAACAGG